UUAUCAUAUAUAAAUUAUGUCCCAUGUGGGCAUAUUUUGAUUGCUAUUUUUAAUAUGCUGUGAGGUUGAGUGUCUCCAAAUAUGAAGAUAAUUCGUGACCUUGAAAGUUCUAAAAUGACCUUGAGUCUACUUGCUUCUUGAAAUCUAGGUAAGGUUAUUCUUUGAACUUCCUAUGGAAGUUCAAAGCCCUCCCUGUGAUUUCUGCAAUUUCUAUGUUUCUGCCUGGGCAUGGCUUAUAAUCACGUGGAGAGGAUGUUAAGACAAAAAUGGCUGGGCUAGGCCCUCAUCAAUUCUGAUUCAGCAGGUCUGUGGGGAGGCCCAGAAUUUGCAUUUCUCACAAGCUCUUAGAUGAUGCUGAUGCCACUGGCUCUUAGACCACACUUGUGUAACAAGUGCUGCCCUGGAGCCGUGGUUCUCAAGGUGUCUUGGUCCAUUUGUGUUGCUACGAAGGAAUAUCUGAGGCUAAGUAAUUCAUAAAAGAGGCUUAUUUGGCUCAUGGUGUUGCAGACUGUACAAAAAUCAUGGUGCCAGCAUCUGCAUCUGCGGAGGGCCUCAGGCUGCUUCCACUUAUGGUGAAAGGGAAAGGGGAGUCAGCACAUGCAGAGAUCAUAUGGUGAGAAAGGAAGCAAGACAGAGAGGAGGGAGGUGCCAGGUUCUUUUUAGCAAUCAGUUCUACAGAGUGAAAACUACUCAUUUUCACCAAGAGCGCACCAAGCCAUUCAUGAGAAAUCCAUCCCUAUGACCCAAACACUUCCCAUUAGUCCCCAUCUCCAAUAUUGGGUUCAAAUUUCAACAUGAGGUUUGGAGGGUUCAAUAUCCAAGCUAUAUAUACCUUAAAACUUAGCGUCGGAAUCACCUAGAGAGCUUAAUAAAACACAGACUGCUGGCUGCCAUCCCAGAGUUUCUGAUUCAAGAGGUCUGGGGUGGGGCCCCCAGAUUUUCAUUUCUAACAAGUUCCCAGGUGAUGCUGAUGCUGCUGGUCCCAGCAUCAAACUUUGAGUAAUGGUUCUUCAGAGGACCCUCCUUUGAUCCUCCUUCAGCUGUGCCCUUCCCUACAGGGGAGUCUUGGGACCAAGGGACCAUCCUCUUCCCCACUAGACCCUACUCUGGGUACUUGAGAUCCUUGUACAACUAGCCUUGAGCCCACUUCCAGGGCCUGCAUGGGGACUAUUCAUAGGAGGUGGGAGGGGAGUGGAUGGAGUUGGAUGUACAGGCUGGGAUGUCCACAUGCCAUGUGAGGUCCUUGUAGUUCAGGAUGGAGCCGAGGUUGAGAAGAAUGGGGGAUGGAACCAGAGCCCAAACAUUCCUGUGCAGGUAGCAUCAUUUCCUCCAUUUAGGACCAUCCUGACCAGAGAUGAGAAACAUGACAAUUAGGAACAUAGGUUCUCAAGUCACGCAUACUUCCAUUCAAUCCAUGACUCUGAACUCUUUCCCCCGUGACCUCAGGUAAGUUAUUAAACCUCUAUGAACCUAGUCUCUGCAUCUGUAAAAUUGGAAUAAUGCCAAAUACCUACCUCAUUGGUCUUUUGGCAAGAGCUACUGCAGUAAGGUAUAUAAGGCAUUUAGCAUGAGCCUUGGAAUGUAGUAAAUGGUUGAAACUAUUGCUCUUGCUGUUGUUAUUAUUAGUUGCUGCUUUAUUAAGUCCUGUGGUGGGCGGAGCACCUGUUAUUCAUCACUGUCUUCUUGCCUUGUGCCAGAGAAAUCCAGGCACCUUCUGAGCAGGAUUUAGGCUCCUGGUGCUCUCCUCUGGCUGCUCUUUGCUCCAUCCUGCUCACAGCCCAAAGUCCUAUAUUGAAGACCAUGAAUAAAGGAUGCUAGAGUUUAGAAGAUAACAUGCCUUUUUUGUAAAUGGCUAAUCUGAAUGAGCAACUUCAUAGAAAAUAGUACUUUCUUGCUGCUGUAAUUAGAAGUUUCAUGAAUCUAUUUGUGGUCGAGAUAGUAACAUUUAUGAAAAAUAGUGCAUUCAAUUAUUUGACCCUUGCUCCCAUUUUUCAAAGGUUUAAUUUAUGUUUUCUUUGCUUUGUGACUGCUUUAGAUACAGUGAUGAAAUAUGAGUGUCUUUGUGAGUGCUUAGGCAGCCCCCAUGGAUGUUGGAGUGUGGGCCUGUGUGAAUGAGUGCCUCUCCUCAUGUAUAUAUGAGAAUUCCAACCUCCAGCAGCAGCAAUGAUAACCUAACUUGUACUUUCACCAGGCUUUCAACAGGGCCAUCCAGUCCUACUUUCUACAAUGAUGAGAUCACUUAGCAUUAGUAGCUACCAUGUCGGGCAAUGCGGAUUAAGAAGGUACUUGCUGACUUGAUCUUUGCUACUUCUCUGAGAGAGGAAUGGAGAAAUGUAUCAUCUUAUUGACAAUGAAACUUUGGAGUGGAAAGGCGGUGUGACUGAUUUAAGAUCACAGUGCAGUGAUCACACGUGGGUAUGAGGCAGGCGGUCAUCCACCCCAUCACCACAGGUAACCUGCUUCUUCAGAGCCUGAGAAAGUCUAAUACCUGAACUACUAAGAAAAAGACAAACACUUCAAUAGAAAAAAAUGGAGAGGAUAAAAAAGUAACAUUCAAAAAUUCAAAAGCAUUCUUACAUACUAGGAGUAAUCAAUUAGAAAAUAUAGGCUUUCGAUAUGAAGAAAAGUUGUGAAACUGUCCAGAAGGCCACAAAGGAAGAUGUGAAUAAACAGAGACAAAUUGUGUUCCUGGUGGGAAGCCCCAGUAGGUCAGUUCUACACAAAGUAAUUUAUAAAUACAAAGCAAUUCCCUUAAGAACCUUAGGGAUAUUUCAUGGAGUUUUUCAAACUGAAGAAAAAAAUGCACCUGGAGUAGAAAAUGUAAGAGAAUAGCAUAGACAUUUAAAAAUAUAAAUCAGAGGCUUGGAGGGGCAGGGAAACACAUGACAAAGUAAUAAUAACUAAAACAAUAUGGGGAUGGUGUGUAAAUAGCCUGAAGGACAAAUGCAACAGGGCAGAGAGUCCAGAACGAACCCAUGUAUGUGUGGAAACUAGGAUGUGAUAGCAGCAAUGCCUCAGGCCAGUAGGAAAAGAUGGCAGUUCUGUCCUGCACUGUGAUUUAUAGUGAAAAAUUCAAAACAAAUGUCCCACAAUAGAAAAUUAAUAAAAUAUCUUUUAAGACUAUGCAUUCAUGAGAUGACAAAAUAAACCAUUUUAAAACUAUGAUAUUACUAAAUGACAAAAUGAUAAACAUUAUUUAUGGAGAUGUAUAUGAUAUACUGUUCAGUGAGCACAAAAACACACUUUACAAAAUAGUAAAAAGGGCUGGGCGUAGUGGCUCAUGCCUGUAAUCCCAGCACGUUGGGAUGCCAAGCAGGGGCGGAUCACCUGAGGUCAGGAGUUCGAGGCCAGCCCUGCCAACAUGGCGAAACUCCAUCUCUACUGAAAUAACAAAACAAAACAAAACAAAACAAAACAAAACAAAAAACCGUAAUCCCAGCUACUCCAGAGGCUAAGGCAGGAGAAUCGCUUGAACCUGGAGG
rnacentral:lncRNA from 10 species